GGGGUGGCUCGGGGGGCGGGGGAUGCUGGGCUGGGACUCCUGAGCGCCCGGGGCUAGGGCCUGGGGAGCGGCCGGGGACCCCAAGUUGGGUCUGCGGGGCGAGGACCGGAUAGUGGCGUAGGGAAGGGAGGGCGUGAGGAGCGCUUGGCUGCUGUACGUUCAGAGGAGCGCGGGCACCCCAGGAGUCCAGCCUUCAAAGUUUGAGAGGAGAGGAGUCGGGGGUUUAGAAGGUGGGCGCGAUGUUGGAGCCGGGAACCCUCCCUCGGAGCCCCUGGCCCGAGUUGCGCAGAGCCUGCGGCAACAGGCCACCCGAAAGUGUCCGAGCGCCUCGCGGGACUGCGUCGAGGGAAACAGUGUCCCUUGAAAGUGCGACGGAGGGGAGAAGGAGGUGUGAUUAAUAUGAGCAUCUGGGAGCGUGGAGCAGGGCCUGCAGUACUUCCUACCACUGGCCUUCCGUGUUCUGGAUCAUUCUUACUGGAUCUAUCAGCAAACAGCAUGCAAGUGCCAGCGUCCAAUCAUUCCUGCAUGGAAUGCCAUCAGACUUCCUCAGUUGGAGUUACUUAAAAGUUAAAUUGUUGGGAUUUUUGAUAAUGCCUUUCCCAUGUGGAUUACUACAAUUUGAUGGCUCGGAACUCUCCACUCAGAAGGUGACCUGACCGCAGAAGUGCUAACUCCUGUUUAUUCAGGAAAGACUUCCGACUGGGGAAGACUUCCAGGUGUGAAUCAUGAGAGAGCGGAGAGGCCUGUGAUUUACGUUUUGGAGGGCAUGCCUGAGUGUGAUUAAGGGAUUUAAGUGCAGGACUCUAAGAUUUACUUCCUUCCUGUUCCAGCAGGGUUACCUGAAGGAGUGCAGCAUUUCUGGUUCCUUCGAGAGGGUGAGGAGAGCCUGCAGGCAUGCUGUGCACCUCUGCAAUUGCUAGUCCCAGGGUCACAGCAAGUGGAAGUGCAGAGCACCACAAACUGCUUUGAGCAGAGCCCACUUCCUUCAUCCCGGAGAGCAUGGAGCCGUUACACCAACAUCAAUCAAGGGGGACCCAGGCGCUGCACUCACACAGUUGAAGCAGGGGAGCAAAUCGAAGACUCACCCAGGAGCAGAGUGCUUUUGAGACAGAGGAAGAAGACAAAACAGCUCCCAGCUCAGCUUCUCUUGCCAUAUUCAGGAAUCACCACACGUGCUGUUAUAUUGGGCCUCAUUUUGUUUCCCUUUCCCCAACACCUGUGUGCUGUGCUUGUGGUGAGUCUUCACAGCCAAGUACAAUUUUUCCAGUUCAACUCCACUGAUCACUAUCAACAAGAAAGUGUAAGAGCUCAGAAGUCAUCUUGGAGGCCCCAGGCGAAGACCAGUCCUGCAACCUUGGAAGGCAGCUAUGGUCACCACUAUACCACCAACGCCACACCAGUCAUGCAACCUUGGGAUGUGCAGGGUUUGGGCAGCCAAGGCUUGCUGCACUAACCCUUUGCUGCAUGUGUUUCAACAGUGCCAUUUACUUGAUGAAUGUCUCUUUUCCGGCAGAUGACAUGAGAACAGUGCUUGUAACUGUUUCUGCUCAGCAUGAUAUUCAGAACCCUUAACAUGGUUACUGACAUACAGGAGGUGUCUGUAUUUGUUGAAUAAAUGAAUAAAGGAGUAAUGUCUACUUUCUGUUGUCAUUAUUUCCUUUCAUAAUAUACCAUAUUCCAUGUCUUUUUGCCCAUCCCCAUCUCUUUCAUGCAUUGUUUCUUAAUUAUGGAUCUUGAUAUGUGACUUAUCCCUAAAGUUAUUUUGUGCUACUGAAUAACAUGUUGUAAGUACAUAAAAUAUUAUAUUAUAUUCCUCUACCUUUCAAUUACAUUCUUAUACUGCCAGGUAUUAUAUUAUCCCAAUAUAAAUACUUUUUAAGUGGCAAAUGUUUUUUGGUUUUUUUUUAAGUGGC
ensembl:lncRNA